rnacentral:rRNA from 1 species
AGAGUUUGAUCAUGGCUCAGAGCGAACGCUGGCGGCAGGCUUAACACAUGCAAGUCGAGCGGGCCCUUCGGGGUCAGCGGCAGACGGGUGAGUAACACGUGGGAACGUACCCUUUGGUUCGGAAUAACGCUGGGAAACUAGCGCUAAUACCGGAUACGCCCUUUUGGGGAAAGGCUUGCUGCCGAAGGAUCGGCCCGCGUCUGAUUAGCUAGUUGGUGGGGUAAUGGCCUACCAAGGCGACGAUCAGUAGCUGGUCUGAGAGGAUGAUCAGCCACACUGGGACUGAGACACGGCCCAGACUCCUACGGGAGGCAGCAGUGGGGAAUAUUGGACAAUGGGCGCAAGCCUGAUCCAGCCAUGCCGCGUGAGUGAUGAAGGCCUUAGGGUUGUAAAGCUCUUUUGUCCGGGACGAUAAUGACGGUACCGGAAGAAUAAGCCCCGGCUAACUUCGUGCCAGCAGCCGCGGUAAUACGAAGGGGGCUAGCGUUGCUCGGAAUCACUGGGCGUAAAAGGGCGCGUAGGCGGCCAUUCAAGUCGGGGGUGAAAGCCUGUGGCUCAACCACAGAAUUGCCUUCGAUACUGUUUGGCUUGAGUUUGGUAGAGGUUGGUGGAACUGCGAGUGUAGAGGUGAAAUUCGUAGAUAUUCGCAAGAACACCAGUGGCGAAGGCGGCCAACUGGACCAACACUGACGCUGAGGCGCGAAAGCGUGGGGAGCAAACAGGAUUAGAUACCCUAGUAGUCC